GUGAGUCAUCGAAUCUUUGAACGCAUCUUGCGCCCCUUGGUAUUCCGAGGAGCAUGCCUGUUUCAGUGUCACGUAAACUCUCACACUUGCGAUGUAACAAUUUCAAGUUGUGGAUUUGGACUGUGCCGUAGUUGGCUCGUCCUGAAAUGCAUUAGCUUGCGCUUAUUAGAGUGCUUGGCAUUGGUGUGAUAAUUAUCUGCGCCGUAGCCUCACGCCUCUUCGGAAGUGCUGCUUCUAAUCGUCUGAAUGGACAAUUUUCAAACUUUGGCCUGAAAUCAGGUAGGACUACCCGCUGAACUUAAGCAUAUCAAUAAGCGGAGGA
rnacentral:misc_RNA from 1 species